UUUACAGGAAUCACUAGUGUCCAAUGGUUACAAGUUCUUACGCAUUGACGGUACCACAAAAGCCAUUGACAGAAUGAGGGUUGUUGAUGAUUUCCAAGAGGGUAACGGGGCUCCCAUAUUUCUCCUAACAUCACAAGUAGGUGGU